rnacentral:rRNA from 1 species
AUACGUAGGUGGCAAGCGUUGUCCGGAAUUAUUGGGCGUAAAGCGCGCGCAGGCGGGAUAGUAAGUCUGUUGUGAAAUUGCGGGGCUCAACCCCGUAUUGGCAAUGGAAACUGCUAAUCUUGAGUGCAGGAGAGGAAAGCGGAAUUCCCAGUGUAGCGGUGAAAUGCGUAGAUAUUGGGAGGAACACCAGUGGCGAAGGCGGCUUUCUGGACUGUGUCUGACGCUGAGGCGCGAAAGCCAGGGGAGCGAACGGGAUUAGAUACCCCGGUAGUCCUGGCCGUAAACGAUGGGUACUAGGUGUAGGAGGUAUCGACCCCUUCUGUGCCGGAGUUAACGCAAUAAGUACCCCGCCUGGGGAGUACGGCCGCAAGGUUGAA